rnacentral:rRNA from 1 species
GACGAACGCUGGCGGCGUGCUUAACACAUGCAAGUCGAACGGAAAGGCCCUGCUUUUGUGGGGUGCUCGAGUGGCGAACGGGUGAGUAACACGUGAGUAACCUGCCCUUGACUUUGGGAUAACUUCAGGAAACUGGGGCUAAUACCGGAUAGGAGCUCCUGCUGCAUGGUGGGGGUUGGACAGUUUCGGCGGUUGGGGAUGGACUCGCGGCUUAUCAGCUUGUUGGUGGGGUAGUGGCUUACCAAGGCUUUGACGGGUAGCCGGCCUGAGAGGGUGACCGGCCACAUUGGGACUGAGAUACGGCCCAGACUCCUACGGGAGGCAGCAGUGGGGAAUAUUGCACAAUGGGCGGAAGCCUGAUGCAGCAACGCCGCGUGAGGGAUGACGGCCUUCGGGUUGUAAACCGCUUUCGCCUGUGACGAAGCGUGAGUGACGGUAAUGGGUAAAGAAGCACCGGCUAACUACGUG